GGACUACUCGGGUAUCUAAUCCCGGUCGCUCCCCUAGCUUUCGCGCCUGAGCGUCAAGGGCGGGCCAGCAGAUCGCUUUCGCCACUGGUGUUCCUUCCGGUAUCUACGCAUUUUACCGCUACACCGGAAAUUCCAUCUGCCUCUCCCGCCUUCAAGUCCCGAAGUUUCGAACGGCCUCUCCCAGUUGAGCCGGGAGCUUUCACAUUCGACUUUCAGGACCGCCUGCGCGCGCUUUACGCCCAGUAAAUCCGGACAACGCUCGCAACCUACGUAUUACCGCGGCGGCUGGCAC
rnacentral:rRNA from 1 species